CCCCUCUCAGAGUCGUACCUUGGAGAGUUUCCAGUACCCUACCAGCCUCGGCUACAGCAGGGAGAGUCAAGCAGAGGCCUACCCAUUCCAUUCCUAGCUGGCCAGUGGCUAGCGAGUGGAAGGCAAUCUGCUACAAGU